rnacentral:rRNA from 1 species
UACGUAGGGGGCAAGCGUUAUCCGGAUUUACUGGGUGUAAAGGGAGCGUAGACGGUGAGACAAGUCUGAAGUGAAAGCCCGGGGCUCAACCCCGGGACUGCUUUGGAAACUGCCUGACUGGAGUGCUGGAGAGGCAAGCGGAAUUCCUAGUGUAGCGGUGAAAUGCGUAGAUAUAUGGAAGAACACCAGUGGCGAAGGCGGCCGCCUGGCCUGUUGCUGACGCUGAGGCACGAAAGCGUGGGGAGCAAAUAGG